GAUUCUUUGGUAAGACGAAUAAAAAAAGAAUCAAACUUACAAAACACCCAAAUAGCCUGCCUCCUUACCUUUCGUUGGGAAUUUGGGCGUUGCAAGUUGCUUCUGCUGCGGAGUCACCGGAUGGAGGCACGAGGCCGAAGGAGGCGGGACGAGGGCUGGGGCGCGCACUGCUGCAGUGCUGCCUGCUUGGCGCUUGGACGGAGAGGUCCGAGGCGACAAGGCCGUGACCACGGGCGACCGGAGAGAGAGUGAAAACGGGAGAGCGAAGUGAGAGAGAGAGAGAGAGAGAGAGAGCAGAUAGACGGUAGUGUGAGAGAGUGAAACCUAUUUCUAAUUUCUAGUUCACAAAUUCUCCUAUACACCCACCUAGGUGUACAAUAACAUUAGUGUUAUUUAGUGUUAGUGUCAUUUACAUAUAACAUACUACAUGUCAUUUCGAUAAAUGAUAGUGUUAUUUAGUUUAGUGUCAUUUACAUAUAAUGUUAGUGUUAUUUCGCGAAAUUUAUUUAUAUAAAUAAUAGUGUCAUUUGUGAAACAAAAUAAUGUUAUUUAGGAUAUGGUUCAUUAAUAGUGCAUUGCACUCAUGAGUGACGUGCAUAGAGACAUUUCUCCAACAAUCAACUCUACAUUUCACUCUACAAUGGAAUAUUCUAUUUUGAUACUUUUAAUUGUUAUUAAAUUAAUCUUUUUAUAUAGUUAUUAUAUAUAUAUAUAUAUAUAUAUAUAUAUUUAAUUCUAUUUAUAUUUAUUCUGAUUUAUUUAAUUAUAACAUAAUAUAAUAUAAUUAUUUUGUAUUUUUAUACUAUAUUUAAAUUAUUGCACAUUAAUUUAUUCCAACAACAUAUAAAAUAACAUUACAUAAUAAUUAGUAAAAAGCAUAAAUUACAUGACAAUAGCACACUAAUAUUACAAAAUACUUGCAAAAAUUUAAAUUACUUAACAAUGGGAAUUAGUGUUCAAAAUUUGAAUAUUCUUCCCACAAAUGAUCGACCAAUGCAUCACGAAGUGCAAGAUGAGCUGAUUUAUCUUUGAUGCUUCGAUAGCGUGCAAGAAAUUCUUGAAACUGACGUGCUUCAUUUGGCACCGUUUUCGACAUCUGGAGUUUGGGACUUCUCUCAUCUCUUGAAUUGGUGCAGACAAGUCUCUUUCAUCCUCAAUUAUCAUAUUGUGCAUGAUAAUGCAGGAUUUCAUGAUAGCUCUAAAUGUUUCUUUUGCCAAAACGGGCCGGAUUUGCAACAAUUGCAAUCGACUUUGAAGAACUCCAAAUGCACGUUCCACAUCUUUCACACGUACUCUUGUCUCGUAGCUAAAAUUGUUUUUUCUUGCUAGUACGUGGUUCAUGUAUAGUUUGCUACAAGUGUGGACCUAUUUCGGAUUAUAUUCCGUCAGCUAAAUAUAACCCACACUAUCUCUUUUCCCUGUAUUACAUAAUUUGCAGGUGGAGUGAUACCUCUAGCAAGAUCACUGAAAAGAUGCGAUCUUUCCAAGACAUUAAUAUCAUUAUUGGACCCUGGCAUACCAAAGUAUAAAUGCCAUAUCCAAAGAUCAUAAUCAGCAACAAUUUCAAGAAUAAUCGUGGGAGAUCCACUACGACCUGCAUAUGAGCCUGCCCAAGCAGUUGGACAAUUUUUCCACUUCCAGUGCAUACAAUCUAGACUACCUAACAUUCCUGGAAAACCACGUUGUUGACCAAUAUAUAAUAGUCUAGCACCAUCACUAGAAGUAGGAGAUCUAAGAUAUUGACUUGAAAAUAUUUCCACAAUUGCACGACAAAAUUUCUUGACACAUUUAAUUGCAGUAGACUCACCAAUGUUGAUGUACUCAUCGGUGGCAUCUGCAGGUACCCCGUAUGCUAAUAUCCGAAAUGCAGCGGUUAUUUUUUGCAGUGUGGACAAGCUCAAUCUACCAGUGCAAUCCCUUCCUUGCUGAAAGUAACUAUUAUGAUUUUUUACAGCAUCAACAAUACGAAGGAAUAAAUUUCGAGACAUUCGAAAAUGUCUACGAAACAUUCCUUCAUUAAAUGUUGGAUUUUCAGAAAAAUAAUCGUUGAACAGACGUUGGGCAGCCACUUCUCGAUCACGAUGGAUCAUCCUGCGACCAGGAACUGAGUCUCUGUGGAUUGUUGUAGCAUUUUGAUUUUCAAUAAGGCUUGCUACAACGAAAUUACUCCCUCCGUCCCUAAAAUACUUCCUCUUUUCCAUUUUGGGACGUCCCCCAAAUAACUUCCUCUUUCUUUCUUUCCAUUUUUGGAAACCUACCCCACCACUAAUAAUACUUUAUUUAUUCUUACUUUUCACUUUUCACCACUCCCAAUACUAAUUAUAAUACUUUUCACAACUUCCAAUAAUAAUUAUAUCAUUUUUUNCAUUGCAUCUUGCACCAGCCCGUCUUUACACAAACCAUCAAGCAUAGCCACGGCGUUGGGGAUCAACCCCGUAUCCUUCAUCUUCUUGAAUAUCUCAUUCGCAUCCACGCUAUCACUAUCUUUAUCGACUGCGACUGGCUCCCUCUCCCUCUUGUUAGGGUUUUCUUUACUGCUGUCGCUAUCCAGCCCAAGCUUGAAUCUUUCAAGAAAAUCAGCAUCAGUUUCUGCCCCAAAGGUCUGCCGGGGGCGAGAUGAAGAUCGGGAUUGAUUUCUGAGUGGGCGGUCGGGAAUGGGUUCACGAGGUUGAUCGGAGAAAGAGCGUGCGGGUGCGGCGGCAGUGUUCCGUAGGAGACGAGCUCCAGUGGAACGCAGUAUAGUUCUGAGCGCCGUCGACAUUCAAAAUCCAAUCUGCACCACCUAAUCAAACUCCAGCUUCCCCCUCACCUGUAUACAUUUCAGUUGUGGAGCUAUUUAAUUACUCUUUUGGGUUGCCAACAAAUGCCUUAUAUUCUAAUGUCCAAAAAUCAUAAUUUAUACGUCUAAUGUCCGAUUAUUUUCAUAGAUCUACAAAAUAUUUCAAGUAUUUUUACUUAACGGUGGAUUCUUUGGUAAGACGAAUAAAAAAAGAUCAAACUUACAAAACACCCAAAUAGCCUGCCUCCUUACCUUUCGUUGGGAAUUUGGGCGUUGCAAGUUGCUUCUGCUGCGGAGUCACCGGAUGGAGGCACGAGGCCGAAGGAGGCGGGACGAGGGCUGGGGCUGCGCACUGCUGCAGUGCUGCCUGCUUGGCGCUUGGACGGAGAGGUCCGAGGCGACAAGGCCGUGGCCACGGGCGACCGGAGAGAGAGUGAAACGGGAGAGCGAAGUGAGAGAGAGAGAGAGAGAGAGAGAGCAGAUAGA
rnacentral:lncRNA from 1 species